UACUUUUCUCUUCACUCCCGCUCGCUUAUCUCUCUCUCUCUGCUUAAAAACCCUAAAAAAAAAUAAAAUCAAUGACUCUGAAAAGCUAAACCAGUUGCCAAAAUUCAGCAUUUAACGGUCGAAUUGGGAUUUUUUUUCUUCAAUAAUCCCAUUUUACAGCCGUCAAAAUUUGCAAAUUCUUUAUCUUUCCUUUGUAUGUUUAAAUUAUGGGUACUGUAGAGGUGUUAGACAAUGGAGGAGUUGAGUAUGGUAUAACUUCAUGUUGUGAUAAUGCUAAUGUGGGAACAGUGAAUGGUGGGUCUGAGAGAACACUGAAUGGUGGCAAAAGAAUUGAGAAAUUGAGUGAUGAGAUUUUAGAGGACUUUGAGUUGUAUUGGGAAGAUAUAAACGAACGCUUAACGGUUUCAAGGAUGGUGAGUGACUCAGUUAUUAAGGGAAUGGUAAGUGCUGUGGAACAGGAGGCGGCUGAGAGAAUAAUGACUAAGGAGAUGGAAUUGACCAAAUUUAAGAAGUAUUUGCAAUUUCAUGAUGUGGGUCUCAGUAAAACUGAAUCUUUGGGGACACCGGUCUUGCAGGAUGCGCUAGAAGGUUUUAAUUUUCAGAAGCAUUUCACAUUAUCAGAUGUUUUCCGGGAACAUGAAAAGACGAGAGAGAUUUUAGGUGGACUAAGAAAUUCAGCAACAGAUGAACUCAAGAAGCUGAAGAAGGGCAUCGAUAGGGUUAGAAGUUCCAGUUCUAUCAAGAGGAUCUGCUCUGGUUCAGAGUUGGUGGGUCUCGGUGGCAUUUUGCGAGAGCGAGAAUCUGAAAGUUGGGUUCAUGUGGACAAAACAGUGAAGCAUCUGAAAAUGAUCAUGGAUACAAUUUUUACACGUAUGGAUGGAAUGGUACAGUUGUCCAAGGCAUCAGUUGAGUGGUGGCAGGAGGAGCAUUUAAUUGAGGUGGAGGUUGAGGCCAUGGUGAUGCGGAAUCUGAUCCAGAGUAUGCAGGAAGGUUUUGAGGACAAAUUGUGGGAUCAGUAUAGUCAGUCUUGUGAUGCUCGAAUUGAGAAACUGACAGAGAUCUCUAAUCUUCGAAAUGACUUAGAGGUUAUUUUGAAGUCAUUGUCUAGUAUAGAAACACAGAGUCUGACUUCACAUGGGUCACAGGAUGUUGACCACUUUCAUUGCAUGAUGUCAAGUGAGCAUGUGACAUCUUCAAAAUCUAUUUUGGAGGGAAAUGGGAAGUGGGAGGAUUCAAAGAGUGAUAUACCUGAAAAGUUUGAAGCUGCCACAUUGAAACACAUGUCACGCGAGGAAAUGGUGGACUAUUUUAAUAAUAUGAUGACAAAGAUGAAGAGAGAACAUGAAUCCGUUCUGGAAAAGAAAACUGAUGACUACUUUUCUCUAAGAGCUGAAUAUCUAACUCUUAUAGGAAGGGGGUCUGUUGUGCAGCAUAAGAAGGAUCAGGGGGAAUUUGAUUUUCUUAGAAAGAAGAUCCCAGAAGUUAUUAUGAAAUUAGAAGAUAUCUCUGUAGAGACGGAAAAGUGUCCUGAAUUUACUCAAAGACCUACAAAUUUGGAUAGUUUGAAGGAUAGAAUUGACACCAUUCUUUCUGAAAAUCGUCAGCUAAGAGACUUGCUUAGAGAUAAGAAAAAUGAAGUUAGGUUUCUGUUGUCCGAAGUCUCUGCUGCUGCUGAGAAGAGUCUGCAACACACUUUGGAUGAAGAAAAUAUGCAGAAGCAGAUAGGAGAUAUCAAUUUAGUGGUGGAACAUUCACAAAUAGCAGCUUCAAUCAGGGAAGAAGUGUAUAAAUGUUUUCUAAGGGAUCUUAUUAGAGAGAAAGGUAGUAAAGCUGAUGAGUCAAACAUGGAGUUCCAUAUUAUGAAUGACAUUUAUAAUAUUAUUUUGACGGAAGCUUACAUUACUACUGAAAGUACUUACAAUUCUGAACUCGAAGAUUCAGAGUUGGAGUGUCUGAUAAUGCAAGAUCUUUAUGGAGUGAUUUUCAGUGAAGGAAUAAAGGAUGCUCAGGACAAGCUCAAGGAAUUGUACCACAAUUAUUCAAAUGAAAAUGAAAAUCGUAUAUUUCUUGAGAUGAAAGCUAUUCAGAAGGAAUAUGAAUUAACACUAGAGGUUGAAGAGAAGGAAAAACUAAAGCAAAUAAUUUAUCAGCUUGAAAGAUCAGUGGGUGAAAAGGAAAAAUUAGCAAGUGAUGCAUCAACUGCUCUGGCAAAGGAGAAGGAACAAUUUCAGCUGGUAACUCAAGAGCUUAAUUCUGUGAGAGAACAUGCAAGUACGCAGCAAAGAUUAGUUUCUGAGAGAAAUAUGGAAUUAGAGGUGAUAAAGGGUCAAUUAGAAGAAGCAUUGGAGCAAAUUGAAGCAAUGAAGGAGGCGAUCCACCAGUUAAAUCAAAAGCUUGUAGAGAAGGAGGAGGAGUUGAAAGUAGCUGAUGACAAAGCAAAGAUGGUCCUUGCUGUUUCUGAAGAGAGGCAGUACAUUUUGGCAAUAAAUGAAACCAAAGAAAUUGAGCUAAGAAAGCAUAUGGAAGCAGUAAUUUGUAGGGUACACGAGUUGUCAAAAAUGCUUGCAGAUUUUGAAUGCAAGGCGAGUGGCAGUCUGGAAGCAAAUCAUGCUAGGUGGAAGCAUUCAUCAAAUCAGUUGAAUUCUCUCGUCAAGAAGACCAAUUCUCUUAGAAGAACAGUGCUAUUGUACCGACAGAGGCUUGAAAAAAGAUGUUCGGACCUUCAAAUGGCCGAGGCUGAGGUUGAUCUUUUGGGAGAUGAGGUUGAUACACUUCUGCGCCUACUUGAAAAGAUAUACAUUGCACUUGAUCACUACUUGCCAGUUUUGCAGCAUUAUCCUGGAAUUAUUGAAAUUCUUAAGCUGAUCAGAAAGGAAUUGUGGGGAGAUUCUGCUAAACCAGUGAAGUAAUCUUCUACAUAAGUUAAAUCAAAAGUAGGUGCUGGUGAGUUCUAUACUAUGUUUGGUGGAAGGAGGAUAUGAGGAGGGGAAAUAAAAGAGGGAAGAUUAAAGCUCAAUUGCUCCAGGUAGGAAGUUCAAAACUGGGGAUUUUUGUUUUUCUUGGUACUGACAGAUGAAUUUUGGCCACUAUUAGAAGUCCACUGUAAAGCCAGAAGAUCCUGUUGGUAACAAAGACAAGUGUUACUUCUAUAGGAAUUUGAAUAGGGGAGAGCUUUUUUACUUUGCUUGUAUAUUGCUCCAUUUUUUUGCUGUGCAAAUUAGGUGAGAAGACCAAACACCAAAUAGCUGCUGCUGUGCAUUUUAGAUACUAGACAUGUACACGUGCAAGCCAUGCUAAGUCGUAACAUUCUUUCUCGAGAUACAUUCAUGACUUUUAUAUAUAUACUUGUAUAGAUAUGAUAUUGCUUUUACCAAUGAGUAGACAUCAAAUUAAUGUGACAAUUGUAUCUUGUAAGAUAAAUAAGGGCAACAUAUUAUGCAAUGAAUAUAAUAAAAUAUUAAAAUA